AAGGAACUCGGGCGCCUGCAGUUUCGCCUGACCUCAGCAGAGACGCGCUCGAGGGCCGCGGAGCGCCACAGCUGACGGGGCUCUUUGCUUUUUCCCAGCGCUCUUUCCCGAAGGGGCCCUGGUGACGGAGCCAUUCACCGUCCACAGCAAUAAAUGAGCGAAGCAGCUUGGGCCGGGCACCUCAUUUUCAAAAAGCAAGCAAGGACUUUGGAGCACAGCCAACAUGCCUGGAACAAAAGGUAACAAGUCGGACAAGAAAUCCGCCACCAAGCAACCUCAGAGUCCUAAGGAGCAGCCGAAGAAAGGUGAUCAGAAAGGAGAUGACAAUAAGAAGCAAGGAGGACAGCCGAAGGGAGAGAAGCAGUAACUUCCAGGCCUUCGUGAAGAUGGCUCUGGAGACACUCCUGGGCUCAUGCAGACGCAAAUAUGGAGGUCCUCGGGGUAGGCAGGGCUGAGGAACACCCACUCCCCCCCCCAAUUGCAAACCCUCCAGAUUGCCUUAACAGAGGCAGAUCUGCCCGGGCCUCCAAUCGUCAGAGACCACAAACCCAAUCAUAAACCCUCUGUCCCACAAUACCUGAUCUCUUGGUUCACCAUGCUGAUGGGAGAAUGAACUAAUGACCUGAGAUUCCAUACACUCACCAACCCCCACCCCUCAUCCCUUCUUUUUCAACUCCGCCCACGUGAUGUUACCUCACUGUGUUGUAUAUAAACAAACUUAUGAUCUAAUAAACAUUAUUUCAUACAGUUAUCACACAACACGUAUCCCCUUAAUCGAUAUUCUGUAAUCACUUACUCUUGAUUUCUGCUCAGUCCAGCAUUAGACAUUAUACUAAAUGUCAGUUAAAGGAGAAUUCCAACAAUUUUUUCAAUAUUUCUGCACAAUUUACUGGUUGAGAUGUAAACAAAGUAAUUCAGAGUGGUUUGGUAAAAAUGGUCCAUUCAAGAGAAACAGAAUUGUUCAGUGUUGGUGAUAGGAACCGGACAUCAGAGAAGUUUAAUGUCUCUAAA